UUUCCGUAGGUGAACCUGCGGAAGGAUCAUUACAGAGUUCAUGCCCUCACGGGUAGAUCUCCCACCCUUGAAUAUUUAUACCUUAGUUGCUUUGGCAGGCCGUGGAAACACCAUGGGCUCCGGCUUAUGCGUGCCUGCCAGAGGUAACAAACUCUAUUUUUAGUGAUGUCUGAGUACUAUAUAAUAGUUAAAACUUUCAACAACGGAUCUCUUGGUUCUG
rnacentral:misc_RNA from 1 species